GAUCUGGCUCAGGAUGAACGCUAGCGACAGGCUUAACACAUGCAAGUCGAGGGGCAGCAUAAAAGUAGCAAUACUUGGUGGCGACCGGCGCACGGGUGAGUAACGCGUAUGCAACCUACCUAUCAGAGGGGAAUAACCCGGCGAAAGUCGGACUAAUACCGCAUAAAACAGGGGCACCGCAUGGUGAUAUUUGUUAAAGAAAUUCGCUGAUAGAUGGGCAUGCGUUCCAUUAGGUAGUUGGUGAGGUAACGGCUCACCAAGCCGACGAUGGAUAGGGGAACUGAGAGGUUGGUCCCCCACACUGGUACUGAGACACGGACCAGACUCCUACGGGAGGCAGCAGUGAGGAAUAUUGGUCAAUGGGCGGGAGCCUGAACCAGCCAAGUCGCCGUGAAGGAAGAAGGAUCUAUGGUUCGUAAACUUCUUUUGCAGGGGAAUAAAGUGCAGGACGUGUCCUGUUUUGUAUGUACCCUGAGAAUAAGGAUCGGCUAACUCCGUGCCAGCCGCCGC
rnacentral:rRNA from 1 species